rnacentral:tRNA from 1 species
GGAUCUGUGGCUCAGUGGCAGAGCACUUACCUAGCAUGUGUGAGGCACUGGGUUUGAUCCUCAGCACCA